AACGAACGCUGGCGGCAUGCCUAACACAUGCAAGUCGAACGAGACCUUCGGGUCUAGUGGCGCACGGGUGCGUAACGCGUGGGAACCUGCCUUUAGGUUCGGAAUAACUCAGAGAAAUUUGAGCUAAUACCGGAUAAUGUCUUCGGACCAAAGAUUUAUCGCCUUUAGAUGGGCCCGCGUUGGAUUAGCUAGUUGGUGGGGUAAAGGCCUACCAAGGCGACGAUCCAUAGCUGGUCUGAGAGGAUGAUCAGCCACACUGGAACUGAGACACGGUCCAGACUCCUACGGAGGCAGCAGUGAGGAAUUUCCGCAAUGGGCGAAAGCCUGACGGAGCAAUACCGCGUGGAGGAGGAAGGCCCGUGGGUCGUAAACUCCUUUUCUCAGAGAAGAACACAAUGACGGUAUCUGAGGAAUAAGCAUCGGCUAACUCCGUGCCAGCAGCCGCGGUAAUGUGACUACUG
rnacentral:rRNA from 1 species